rnacentral:tRNA from 1 species
UCUAAUAUGGCAGAUUAGUGCAAAAGAUUUAAGUCCUUUAUAUAAAGUAUUUACUUUUAUUAGAA